rnacentral:rRNA from 1 species
CGCUGGCGGCGUGCUUAAUACAUGCAAGUCAACUUGACUUUAGAUAGCAAUAUCGAAAAGUAGGGUGGCGCACGGGUGCGUAACGCGUAGGUAAUCUGCCCCGAGGUCUGACAUAACCCGUCGAAAGGCGGGCUAACAUCAGAUGAUAUAUAAUCACGACAUCGUGGAAAUAUCAAAUCUUCGGAGCCUUGGGAUGAGCCUGCGUCUGAUUAGGUAGUUGGCGGAGUAAUAGCCCACCAAGCCUACGAUCAGUAGCUGGUCUGAGAGGAUGAUCAGCCACACUGGAACUGAGACACGGUCCAGACUCCUACGGGAGGCAGCAGUAAGGAAUAUUGCUCAAUGGGGGGAAACCCUGAAGCAGCAACGCCGCGUGAAGGAUGAAAUACUUUUGUAUGUAAACUUCUGUAAGAUGGGAAAAAUAUUCUCCUCGGGAGAAUUGAUUGUACCAUCAGAGUAAGCCCCGGCUAACUACGUG